GACGAACGCUGGCGGCGCGCCUAACACAUGCAAGUCGAACGAGCGAGAGAGAGCUUGCUUUCUCAAGCGAGUGGCGAACGGGUGAGUAACGCGUGAGGAACCUGCCUCAAAGAGGGGGACAACAGUUGGAAACGACUGCUAAUACCGCAUAAGCCCACAGCUCGGCAUCGAGCAGAGGGAAAAGGAGAAAUCCGGUGAAGGGUGGGCUCGCGUCCGAUUAGCUAGUUGGCAGGGUGAUAGCCUACCAAGGCGACGAUCGGUAGCCGACCUGAGAGGGUGAUCGGCCACAUUGGAACUGAGAUACGGUCCAA
rnacentral:rRNA from 1 species